rnacentral:lncRNA from 1 species
GUGUUCUACCGUGUUUGAACCUUAGCCUGAAACACUUUGAAAAACCUUUUGAGAAAAAUCUUUACCUUGAGUUGAGUUGAGAAUAAUUAAAUGGUAUUGAUAAAUGUUCAAGUUUGGGGUUGUUGGGGAAUUAAAAGGCAAAGAGAAAACAUUGAGCUUAUGUGUUGAAUAAAAAAGCAUCAGAAAAUAGAAAAGAAAAGAAAAGAAAAGCAUGAAAGAAAAGCUCAAUGUAAAAGUAAAGAAAAAAAGGGAAAAGUUGGGAAUGAGUAGAUUGGUUGAAAGAGAGUUGGUGCUUGAACUAUGAAUGUUGUGAUUGGUGUUGUUUCAAAAACAAUUUCUUUUCGCAAUCUUGCAAUCAAAGUAGAAAGCUUUUUGAAAUUUCUUGAAUUGCAUGUAAUCAGAAUAUGUAUGCAGCGGAAAUUACGUAAUUGACUACGUAAAGAAUAAAGUCGACUAAAAUGUAAAAGAUAAGGGAUAAAGAAAUGCAAACACAAAUUUUUAUACUGGUUCGGCCAACAAUGCCUACAUUCAGUGUCCUUCUAACCCAGAAAGAAAAUACACUAUAAUGGUUGCGGUUUUUACAACAAGGAAUUUAUAGAAGACCUCUACGUCAAAAAUAUAAAUCUCCUCUCUAACCCAAAACCAAAAUAUAGCUGCACAACACAAUCAGACUUGCAGCAAGAAUCCCCUCUUCUGCAAUCUACAACACCACUUUGAACAAUCCUCAAAGUGAACUAUCCCCCUG